GGAGUGGCUGGUGGAGCAGCAGCAGCCCCUUCAAGAGUACAAGGGCAGGCACCAGCUGGGGAAGGCUGGUGUUGCCUUGUCGGCCACAUUCUGGAGCCCGGCAGACAGCCUCAGCAAGCUCCUGUAGCCCUUCCAGAUGGCGGUCCGCGAGGCAAGUGCGGCACAGGCCUCUCUGAGCCAGGUGCUGCCCCAGCUGCGCUACCUGCACAUCUUCCUGGAGCAGGUUCACACACACUUUCAGGAGCAGAGUGUCGGGGAGAGGGGCGCAGCCAUCCAGCUGGCUGAGGGGUUGGCCCGGCAGCUCUGCACCGACUGUCAGCUCAACAAGCUCUUCUACCGCGAGGAGUUUGUGCUGGCCACCUUGCUGGACCCUUGCUUCAAGGGGAAGAUUGAGGCCAUCCUGCCGUGGGGGCCGACCGACAUUGACCACUGGAAGCAAGUCCUCGUGUACAAGGAGCCUUCUCUGAAAGCAUCUUUGCCUCCCUGAACAGCCCCACCCUUGUAGAGCAAAACUCUUCUCUCAAGGUGGAAGCCAUUGAGCAUCUCCUCUUCUUGAAGGCCAACCUGGAGCAGUUCCCCAACUACACCCCGCCUCCCCUCAUCUGCUCUAGUGGUGACCUGGCCAAGGGGAUACAGACCCUGCAGUCCGCUCAGGGUGGGAUGGCAGACAUGGCAGGUGCCGGUGCUCACCCUGCCUGUGAACUCCUAGAGAGCCCCUGCCUGUAAUAGGUCAAAGCAGAGAGCUGGGUGUUGCAUCCUGGGCGCCACAUGCUCAUGGCCAGAAUCUUAAACCUAUUUGGUAGGAAAGGGUCAGUUUCUCACUUGACAGAUUGCCAUAUUUUUUUUUCUGGGAGAUGUCAUUUUCCAUCUCCCGAUUACUUCCUUUAUGUCUAGCAGUAUGUGCCGAGAAGAGGCUUACUCUCUUCGUAGGUGACUGAAUUUUGUACUACGUGGCUUUGUACAUGUGAUGCUCUGUUAAAACAUAAGUGGGUGUGAAGGUCCUUGCAUACACCUUUUCUGUGUGGAUAAGUGGAUACAUGCCCUUAAGAGGCUUGCUUUCUCAAAAAGUGGCCAAGGAUGUGGAGUGGGCAUGUGCUGGCAGGUGGGAUAUGUCCUCAGCCUUUGGGGGCCUGGAUAAGCUAUUGCAGCACUUUCUGAGGCUUUCACUGUAGGGAGAAGGAAAUCCCAAGGGUAGAAUAGCCAUUUCCAGAGGGAAGUGCACACAUACCUCCACACACCAGUCUUUUUGGGGGUUUCAGAGUGGCCGGAGAAACCGACUGAAGGGACUGACCAGCUAGCUAGGAGAGCUGAGACGCCAGUCCUCAAAUGGCGUUCUUACCAAUAGUCUAUUUCCAGACUACUGGAAACGCUGGGGUUUCUUCCUCCAGUGACAGCAGCCUCAGUAGCUUUCCUGGGCUCCAGGCGGCUGGCUGCACACCCUGCCUGCCAUCACCCUUGCCCCUGCUUGUCCUGGACCACUUUUAAAGGGGAAGUCCCUUAUUUGGAAGAGAGAAAGGAUGUGUGUAGCACACGCUCAUCAUGGAUUGCUCAGAGUUCCUUUAGGGCAGAGCUGAGGGCCUGGGAUCCAGGAACCAGUGGGAUUGGAUGGGAGAAGAAGGAAGGGGGUGGCCCGUCACCCCCGCAGGACUUGCAUCCAGGUAGCCUAAGGGCUCCUGGUCACUGGGUAGGGUGGCUGCUGAGAUGCAGGUCGGAAGAGGCAGGGGAAGGCUCCAAGCCUAACUUGGAGCAUGUCACUGGCCAUGGGGGUGAGGGGACAGACUCUGCCCUCACUGGCUGGCAGCCCCAGGAGCCUGUUCCCUUGCCUCUCCUGGAUGGGUUGUCAGCCCUGUGUUUCACUGUGACCAAUUCAUUAUAACAUUUGGAUAUUACUGAAAAUGUAAGGAAGCAGGA
rnacentral:lncRNA from 1 species